rnacentral:lncRNA from 1 species
UGCUCUCUACUUCAUUCUUUUAAUAACUAUACAGUUUGCUAAUGUUACGCUGGAGUAUCCCAGUGCUUAAAAAUAUAAUACACUUGGCUGGGUGCAGUGGCUCACGCCCGUAAUCCCAGCACUUUGGUAGGCCAAGGCUGGUCUCGAAUUCCUGACCUGAAGUGAUCCACCCACCUUGGCCUCCCAAAGUGCUGGAAUUACAGGCGUUAGCUGCCACACCAGGCCCCAAAAAUGUAAAAAUUAGCUGGGCAUUAUGGCAUGCACCUGUAGUCCCAGGUACCCAGGCACUUGGGGGCACAGGUGGAGGAUUGCUUGAGCCAGGGAGGUCAAGGCUGCAGGGGGCUAUGAGUGUGCGACUGCAUUCCAGCCUGGGCAACAAAGUGAGACCCUGUCUCAAGGCAAAAAAAAGAAAAAAAGGGGGGCGGGGGCUGGGUGUGGUGGUGGCUCACGCCUGUAAUCCCAGCACUUUGGGAGGCCAAAGCAGGUGGAUCACUUGAGUGCAGAAGUUUGAGGCCAGCCUGUGCAACAGGGCAAAACCCUGUCUCUACAAAAAAAUGCAAAACUUAGCCGAGAGUGGUGGCAUGUUCUGUGGUCCCAGCUACUGUAGAGGCUGAGGCGGGAGGAUCACUUGAGCCUGGGAGGUCAAGGCUGCAGCGAGCCGUGAUUAUGCCACUGCACUCCAGCCUGGGAGACAGAGCAAGACUCUGUCUCAAAAACAAAAUCAAACAAAAAAACACACCACUUAUUUGAAAUAAAAUACUGUAAUUGGCUCUUACCUGCCCAAGAACUAAAAGGUCACACAAAAUUUGAAUAGAUCUUUUCAUGUAUAUUUCUUAGCCACCUCAUUAGGAAAUGUUUUAAAGCUGAAUUAUAUUUUGUAUCUGGGAUCCCAUUUAUAGCCCUAGAGAUGAUGUUAUUCUUCUGAAAUACUAAAAGAGGCCAGCUGUGGUUGCUCACACCUGUAAUCCCAGCCCUUUGGGAGGCCAGGGCAGGUGGAUAGCUUGAGGUCAGGAGUUCAAGACCAGUCUGGCCAACAUGGUAAAACCCCAUCUCUACCAAAAAUACAAAAAUUAGUCCGGCAUGGUGGCAGUCGCCUGUAAUCCCAGCUACUCGGUAGUCUGGGGCAGGAGAAUUGCUUGAACCUGGGAGGCGGAGGUUGCAGUGAGCCGAGAUUGCACCACUGCACUCCAGCCUGGGCAACAGAGUGAGACUAUGUCUCAAAAAAACAAAACAAAAGAAACAAAAAAAGAAAGAAAAAUACUAAAAGGUCAGGUUUAAUAGACAGAAAAAGUACCAAGACCUCUUUCUUUUAGGUUCUUUUUCUAUACGUUUAUGUUUGUUCUCAGUACAACUCUUAUUGCUCUGUACAAUACCAAACUUAAAUUUUUCUAAGACAGCUCAUAGGAAUAACAUUAAAAUAAACAUUUUAAAAAGUGUAACCCUGAACAAUGUGAGAAUUUUUGUGAGCUGCUUUGAGAUACAACUGUUGUCAAGUGGGACUUAUUAGGCAGAAUAUUUUUUCCCUUUUUAUUUUAGGAAAGGUUAUUUGUCAAUGAAGAAAAUGUUAAUGAGUUUCUUGAAGAGGUCCUGAGCUCUCCAUUCAAACAGUCUAUGUCCUUGACCCCACCAUUAAUUGAAGUUCUUCAAGUUACUGAUAAUAAGAUUCAAAUUAAUGCAAAGGUAAGGAAGUUGAUGGGCUCUAUAGAGGAGUAAUGAAGCACAGAGUUAAAACCUAACAAAUUAUUGAUUUCUUAAUAUCAUAACUUUAAACAAAAUUUACAUAAUGGUUGGGCAGAGUGAUGUUAAGAGAAGAAAAGUUUUUCUUUUUUUUUUUUUUGAGAUGGAGUCUCCCUCUGUCACCCAGGCUGAAGUGCAGUAGCGCGAUCUCAUCUCACUGCAACCUCCGCCUCCUGGGUUCAAGCGAUUCUCCUGCCUCAGCCUCCCAAGUAGCUGGGACUACAGGAGCAUGCUACCAUGCCUGGCUAAUUUUUUGUAUUUUUAGUAGAGAUUGGGUGUCACCGUGUUAGCCAGGAUGGUCUCGAUCUCCUGACCUCAUGAUCCACCCGCCUCGGCCUCCCAAAGUGCUAGGAUUACAGGCAUGAGCCACCGCGCCCAGCCAAGAAAAGCCUUUUGUCUGUGUAUGUAUUAUGUGCUAAACACUUUGCUAUUCAUUUUCACAUUAUUUAAUCCCAAAAUAACCCUACAAUGAGGAACAAAGAGAAACUAACACUUAGGAAGUUUGAGUACUAGUCCAGGGACAUACAAUCUUUUUUGACUCUCAAACCAUGAGAACUAUGUUAUACAAUUUGUACGUUCUUUCUAAUUCAAUCUUAAUUUUGGUCAUUUUUAUAGUCUUCAGUAUUGAAGAUGCAAAUGAUUUAGUAACUACCACAAUCGACAGACAUAUGUAUUAGAAGGGCGGCUCUGAAAAAUUAGAGGAAUUCAAGAAAAUUUAAGAAAUUCAACAAUGUGCUUAUAACUGUUAAAUAGUUUUGUAGACCAUGUUGAAAAGUAUGGAUUAUUGUUGUGAAAGGAUAUAAUCAGGAUAUUAGUGCCAGGUUUACAUUGUUAAAAAAUGACUGGCAGUAGGCUGGGUGCAGUGGCUCACACCUGUAAUCCCAGCACUUUGGGAGACCGAGGCAGGCGGAUCACCCGAGGUCAGGAGUUCGAGACUAGCCUGGCCAACAGUGAAACCCCGUCUGUACUAAAAAUAUAAAAAUUAGCCGGGCGUCAUGGCAGGCACCUGUAAUCUCAGCUACUUGGGAGGCUGAAGCAGGAGAAUCGCUUGAAUCUGGGAGGCAAAGAUUGCAGUAAGCCAAGAUUGCGCCACUGCACUCCAGCCUGGGCGACAGAGCCAGACUCAAUCUCAAAAAAAAAAAAAAAAAAAAAAAAGACUGGCAGCAGACUAGUCGUGAUGGCUCAUACCUGUAAUCCCAGCACUUUGUGGAUCAUUUGAGGUCAGGAGUUCGACACCAGACUGGGCAACAUGGUGAAACCCUGUGUCUACUAAAAAUACAAAAAUUAGCCGGGCGUGGUGGUGCAUGCCUGUAAUCCCCUCUACUUGGGAGGCUGAGGCAGAAUUGUUUGAACCUGGAGGCAGAGGUUGUAGUCAGCUGAGAUUGUGCCAGCCUGGGCGACAGAGCAAGACUCCGUCUCAAAACAAAAAAAGUCAUCCUUCAAAUGCUGCCUGUCUUUUUCUUUUUUUGACAGGGUCUUACCCUGUCACCCAGGCUGGAGUACAGUGGCACUAUCUCGGCCCAGUGCAACCUCCACCUCCCGGGUUCAAGUGAUUCUUCUGCCUCAGCCUCUCAAGUAGAGGGGAUUAUCAGGUGUGCUCCACCACACCCGGCUAAUUUUUGUGUUUUUAGUAGAGAUGGGGUUUCGCCAUGUUGGCCAAGCUGGUCUCGAACUCCUGACCUCAAGUGAUCUGCCUGCCUUGGCAUCCCAAAGUGCUGGGAUUACAGGCAUGAGCCACUGUGCCCAGCCUGGAGGAUGAAUUUUGACAGGAAAGCCUGGAUGUAUACCUGCAGGUCUGUAAGGGCUAUUACCUCACAACUGUUAAAAAUUUUAUUUCCAGAGGGUAGUACAAUUUAAUUUUGUAUUAUUUAAAAUAAUUAUUAAUUUGUUGUUUCUCUUGACACAGUUGCAAGAAUGUAGUAACUCUGAUCAGCUACAAGGAAAGGAGGAAAGAGUAAAUGAAGAAAGUCAUCUAACUGAAAAGGAAUAUAUAGAACAUUGUAACACCCCUACAACUGAUUCUGAUUCAUCUAUAGCAGUUAAAGCACUACAAAUAGAUAGCUUUGGUUUAGUUACAUGCUUUCAACAAGAGUCUCUUGAUGUUUCUCAAAUGAUACUUGGAAAAUCUCAGCAACCUGAGUCAAAAAUGCAAUCUGAAUUUAUAAAAGAAAAAAGUGCUACUUGUUCAAAUGAGGAAAAAGAUAACUUAAACGAGUCAGUAAUAACUGAAGAGAAAGAAACAGAUGGAGAUCACCUAUCUUCAUUACUGAACAAAACUACGGUUCACAAUAUACCUGGAUUCGACAGCAUAAAAGAAACCAAUAUGCAGGAUGGUAGUGUGCAGGUCAUUAAAGAUCAUGUGACCAAUUGUGCAUUCAGUUUUCAGAAUUCUUUGCUAUAUGAUUUGGAUUAAUUCUAUAUAAUUUUGGACUUUUAAAUAUUAAGGUUAAAAAAUACCUGUAUCUAAAAUUGAUUCUGUUAACUGUUGUCUUAAAACUAAAGGUAUUAAAGUAUAAAAUUAAAAUUUGCAAUUUUUUUUAAAAAAUUGCAAUUUUGAUUCUCAUGGGGGAAAUUGGAGAUAAUUUUUUUUUUUUUGCCUCUGGAGUUUAAAGUUUCCUUAUGGAGAUAAGUUUUGUGAUUCCUGUAAUAGAUGUGUAUGUUUUCUAUUUGAGAGUUAAAACAUUUGAGAGUUAAAACAUUUAGUUUUAAUACAACCUAUGUAUAUAUACUUCUGUGUUAAAUUUUGCUUUGUCAUUAAUAAAAUUUAAAAAUAUUCA